UACAGAGGAUGCAAGCGUUAUCCGGAAUGAUUGGGCGUAAAGCGUCUGUAGGUGGCUUUUUAAGUCCGCCGUCAAAUCCCAGGGCUCAACUCUGGACAGGCGGUGGAAACUACCAAGCUGGAGUACGGUAGGGGCAGAGGGAAUUCCCGGUGUAGCGGUGAAAUGCGCAGAUAUCGGGAGGAACACCAAUGGCGAAGGCAGCUUGCUGGGACGGUACUGACGCUGAGGCGCGAAAGCAUGGGGAGCGAACAGG
rnacentral:rRNA from 1 species